AAGCUACUCCCUCCAUCCGGAAAUACUUGUCAUCAAAAUGGAUAAAAAGAGUGUAUCUAGAACUAAAAUACAUCUAGAUAUAUCCCCUUUUAUUCAUCUUGAUGACAAGUAUUUCCGGACGGAGGGAGUACUAG
rnacentral:pre_miRNA from 1 species